rnacentral:rRNA from 1 species
GCGGGGGGGAUGGCACGUUUAAUGCAUCAGCUCCCAGUGGAUCACUGAUGUUAAGCAACGUGGCACGUGGUUGGUAUCCGCUUGGGUGACCAUCUUGGGAAUCGCGUUUGCAAGCU